CAGGUUGUUACCGAACCAAUAUCUCGUAACAAAAGCCGGGUCUAAAGGUAACGGAAACCCG
rfam:Pseudomonas mendocina ymp, complete genome.